UUUGGGAGUGUCUCCCUUCUCGGGAGACUCUCUUGACCCCACGAACCCUUGACCUCAAAUCGGGUGAGACUACCCGCUGAACUUAAGCAUAUCAAUAAGCGGAGGAAAAGAAACUAACAAGGAUUCCCCUAGUAACUGCGAGUGAAGCGGGAAAAGCUCAAAUUUAAAAUCUGGCGGUCUCUGGCCGUCCCGAGCUGUAAUAGAGAGAAGCGU
rnacentral:rRNA from 1 species